rnacentral:rRNA from 1 species
CACGUAGGGCGCAAGCGUUGUCCGGAAUUAUUGGGCGUAAAGAGCUCGUAGGUGGUUUGUUACGUCUGCUGUGAAAUCCUAGGGCUUAACCCUGGGCUUGCAGUGGAUACGGGCAGACUAGAGGUAGGUAGGGGAGAAUGGAAUUCCUGGUGUAGCGGUGAAAUGCGCAGAUAUCAGGAGGAACACCGGUGGCGACGGCGGUUCUCUGGGCCUUACCUGACACUGAGGAGCGAAAGCGUGGGGAGCGAACAGG